AUGCCAUGGUGGGAACAUUCUCUAAGCAUCUCCUUAAAUCUUUCUCAAACAUCAAAUAGGGAUUCAUCCUCUCCUUGUCCAAAUGAUGUUAUCUUAUUCCUCAUUCU